AUAAACAAAUAAAGACAGGGAAACCUAGAAGAAAGGACCUGCCCAAGUCUCGCUGUAGACGGUGGUGGGCCAGCUUCUGUUUCACUGAGUAAUGUCGACAGUUUAGGUAGCGUUUGAGGACGGGGGUCUUUUUGGAAACCUCUCUCCUUGAUGAUCUUGGCAGCCCGUUGGCUUGUGAGGAGCUUUGCAGAACCCACAGGUCUGGGGUGGGGGGGCACAGGGUGCUGAACCCCAUGGCCUGCAGGGCAGCCCCAUUCCCUCUGAGUCCCCAGCCCCUUCUGUGCACUGCAACCAAGAAAGGUGUGCAGGGUACAGUGGUACACGCCUAUAGUCCCCGUGCUUUGGGAGGUGAGGAGGGUGGAUUGCUUGAGCCCAGGAAUUUAAGACCAGCCUGGGCAAUGUAGCAAGACCCCAUCUCUACAAAAAAUUCUUCAAAAAGUUAGCCAGGUGUGGUGGCGCACACCUGUAGUCCAGCUACUCAGGAGGCUGAGGUGGGAGGAUCACUUGAGCCUGGGAGUUCAAGGCUGCAGUGAGCUGUGAUUGUGCCACUGUACCCCAGCCUGGAUGACAGAGUGAGACUCUGAUGAAAGGAAGGAAGGAAGGAAUGAAGGAAGGAAGGAAGGAAGGAAGGAGGGAGGGAGGGAGGAAGGAAGGAAAAGUGUGCAGGUGAGACCCAUCUGAAGGACAGAACAGAAAAGCCCAGAAGACCGGCAGCCGUGGUCAGCAGAAGGCAGCAGCGCUGGCUGGGGCAGGGACACAGGAGGGUCCUGGGGCCAGAGGGAGGCCCUCGGAGGCAAAGCAGGCGGGAAGCCGUGUUCAUAUGAAAUCCAAUGGGGAGGCUGACAGCAAGCGGGGAAGAAAAAUAAUCAUAAAUGAUGGUUUUUAUUAAAAAAUAUCACCAGGAAAACGUAUGCUCAUUCCAGAAGCCCAAAAAAGCCCAAAAUGUAAUAAGGGGGAAGAGAGGAGAUGGGGAAUAGAAAAUUAAAAUCAUGAAAAUAGCCCCGGAAAGCCUCCUGAUGUCUGCCGGGAGUCCGUAGCAUGGGAGGGAGGGAGGGAGGGAGGGAGGGAGGGAAGGAAGGAGGGAGGGAGGGAGGGAAGGAAGGAGGGAGGGAGGGAGGGAGGGAGGGAGGCAGGCAGGGAGGGAGGCAGGCAGGGAGGGAGGGUCGCUGCUGUGCCGAGUGAUAAACAUUUUUCUGCAGCUGAAACAGCACGGGGCGCGGGCAGGAGGCGGAUUCCUGAGCAGAAUCAAGAACUGUUGUUUUAUGAAACUGAGUUUGGGAAGGUUUGUUAAAUAGCAACAGAUAAUCCAAAGCACCGGAUGUGGGGGGUGGUGGCGGUGGCUCACACCUGUCGUCCCAGCACUUUGGGAGGCCAAGGUGGGAGGAUUGCUUGAGCCCAGGAGUUUGAGACCAGCCUGGGCAACAUAGGGAGACCCUAUCUUUACAAAAAAAUAUGAAAAUUAGCUGGGUGUGCUGGCACCUGUAGUUCCAGCUACUGCGGAAGCUGAAGCGGGAGGAUCUCUUGAGCCCGAGGGUGAGGCUGCAGUGAGCUAGAAUUGGCCACUGCACUCCUGCCUGGGCAACAGAAUAAGGCCCUGUUUCUUAAAAACAUAUAUAAAAUAAAAAUGAGAAAACAAGGAAGCCUGUGUGAAGAGACACCCGCACCUGGACACCAACCCUGCCCCUGUCCCUCCCCAGCCCUGCCCAUCACCCUCCCCCAGCCCGCAGCCCCAGUGGCUUUGGGAUGAGGCAAGACCAGGACUCUCUCUGGCUCCUUUAUCCGCAACUGGAGCGAGGCUGUUGGCUUCCUGUCCUCACUCGGAAAUUCAGGGCUCAGGUUUUCAAAGCAGAAGCUCAAAGCCCUGCCUCCUCCCUCCCUCCCUCCUCUCAGCGCCGUCAGGGCUGAUGGGCCUGGCAUCUCAUGACUCUCUCUUCUCGGAUUAAAUUACUCCAGCCCAGCACGGGCUCCCCGGCGGUACUCCCAUCACACUUCAAUGGUGAGCUUAUUAGCUGGGUGGUUCCAGGAGGAGUAUUCACUCCCGGUUCUGCCCAAUUAAUGCUGCCCUAAGCCAGCUAAUAGGGAAGCUUGGAGACAGCCGCUCCCAUAACUGAGAGGGAGGUUCAGUAGCAGGGUGUUGGCUCUGCUAGUGUGGAGGAAGGAAUGGGAACAUGCUGUCCACAGGCCAGGGCCUGCCUGCUGGGUCCAGCUUGGACUCUGACCUGGUGACCAAAUCCUGCAAAUACCCUGCCUCUCUCUUGGCCUCAGUUUCCCCAUCUGCAAGCUGAAUCCGUUGAGUGGGAUGAAAGCAACACAGGAAGGCAUAAAAAUAAUGGCGCAGUUACUUAGUCCUUCCUGCCUGCCAUGCUGUGCCACAGAAUUGACAUCCACCAACUAAAUUUAUCCUCCCAGCUGGGCAUGGGGGCUUAUGCUUGUAGUCCCAGCACUUUGGGGGUCUGAGGCGGGAGGAUUGCUUGAGCCCAGGAGUUCGAGACCAGCCUGGGCAUUUUAGACAGGGUCUUGCUCUGUUGCCCAGACUGGAGGGCAGUGGCGUGACGUCGGCUCACUGCAACCUCCGCCUCCUGAGUUCAAGCGAUCCUCCUGCCUCAGCCACCCAAGAGCUGGGACUACACAUGUGCACAACCUCACUCAGCACCAAAUUUUUGUAUUUUUUUAUAAAGAUGGGGUUUCACCAUGUUAUUUUCCUAGGCUGGUCUCAAACUUCUGGGCUCAAGUGAUCCACCCACCUUGGCCUCCCAAAGUGCUGGGAUUACAGGUGUGAGUCACCAUGCCUGACCUUCUAUUUUCAAAUUCAAAAAAUUAAUUAAUAAAUCCUCCCAACACUCCAGAGAAGUGGGUACUGUGUUCUAGCCAUAUGCAAAUAGAGCUGCCAGGUAUGCUUAUAUCUGUCUCUGUGUGAACAGAUGAUUUCAUCUCUCUUGGGUGAGUGCCUGGGAGUGGAGUGGCUGCUUCUUAUGGUAGGUGCACAUUUAACUCUCUAAUAAUUGCCAAACUUCCCCAGCGUGGCCGCACCAUCUUGCAUUCUCAGCAUCAGCACUCAGCAUAGAGUUCCAGGUGCUCCAUGUCCUCAUCAACACUUGCUGAGGUCAGUCUUCUUCAUUUCAGCCACUCUAGUAGGUGUGAAGUGGUAUCUCAUUGUGGUUUUAUUUUUCAUUCCUGAAUGAUUAAUAAUGUUCAGUCUUUUCAUGUGCUUGCAUGUCUUUUUUUCCCCACUUAAACUGACUUAUUUGAAAACCUGUGUAUCUUCUUUACAGAAGUGUCUGUUUAAAUAUUUGGCUCCAUUUUAUUUUAUUUUAUUUUUUUGAGACAGGGUCAUCCUCUGUGACCCAAGCUGGAGCACAGUGGUGCAAUCACAGCUCACUGCAGUCUGGAACCCCUGGGCUCAAGCAAUCCUCCUGCCUCAGCCUCCUAAGCAGCUGGGACUAUAGGCACAUGCCACCAUGCCCAGCUAAUUUUUUGUAGAGAUAGGGUCUCACUAUGUUGGCCAGGCUGGUCUCAAUCUCCUGGGCUCAAGUGAUCCUCCCACCUCAGCCUCCUAAAGUGCUGGAAUUAGGCAUGAGCCACCUUGCCUGGCCCUCUUUAACCCAUUUUAAAAAUUGGUUGUUAGUCUCUCAUUAUUAAGUUUAAAACAUCCUUGUAUUUUAAAUACAAGUCCUUUGUCAGGUAAAUGUUUUCAAAUAUUUUCUCCCAGUCUGUAGCUUGCAUUUUCUUUUUCUUUUUUUUUUUUUUUUUUUUUAGACAGAGUCUCACUCUGUCACCCAGACUGGAGUGCAGUGGCAUGAUCUCGGCUCACUGCAAGCUCUACCUCCCGGGUUCGCGCCAUUCUCCUGCCUCAGCCUCCCGAGUAGCUGGGACUACAGGUGCCCGCCACCACGCCCAGCUAAUUUUUCGUAUUUUUAGUAGAGAUGGGGUUUCACCGUGUUAGCCAGGAUGGUCUCGAUCUCCUGACCUCAUGAUCCACCCGCCCCGGCCUCCCAAAGUGCUGGGAUUACAGGCAUGAGCCACCGUGCCCAGCCGUAGCUUGCAUUUUCAUGGAGAAAACCUUAGUGACCGUGAGUCUGGCAAACAAACACUCUGAGGGGACACACAGAGACCUGGCCUCCCAGGUGGAUGCCUCAGCCUGGGCCCAACCCUCCAUAUGAACUCUGCUGUGUUUUCAGGCCCUUGGCCUGCUCUGCUUCUCUCUGACCCAGGGCCGACUCACGGACCCUUUCGUUCUUCACUCUGGCCUCAUCUCUGGGGCCUGGAGCUGGGCCUCACCUCCAGGGUGACUUCCUGGGCCCCACAAAGUCUGGAAACCCAGGUAAAGGCACAACAAAAGGCACGAUGACUCGCAAAGCCCCAUCCCAGUCCCUUCAAAGGAAAUAAGGGAAUAUCUCAGGGGUUAGUGAGAUAAUUCAUGUAAAAAAUCAGUUGUAAGAUAAUAAAGUUCUGUGCAAACUCCAAAGUACUUCAAAAUCCAGAAAACAUUUCAUAAACUCGGACAGCCAGCCUCUAAGAGGGCCUCCAAUGAUGGAUCCUCCCCUCCUGGUGUUUAUGCCCUUGUAUAGUCUCUUCCCAUUUUGAAUAGGGCAGACCUAUGCAAUAAUAGGAUAUCCUGGGAGAAACAGUGUGUGGCUUCUGAGACUAGGCCACAAAAACAAUGCACUUCUUUCUUGCUCUACGGAUUUCUCACACUGGGAAAACCAGUCAUCAGGGCACAAGGAAACCUAAGCAGCCUAUGGAGAGGGCCACAGGGUGAAGAGCUGAGGCCUCCAGCCAACAGCCCUGUGCAGGUGCCAUCUUGGAAGGGAGCCUCCUGCCCCAGUCAAGCCUUCAGAUAAAUGCAGCCUUGUCUAGCUGCUCCUGACUGCAACCUCAUAAGAGUCCUUGGGCCAGAACCACCCAGCUAAGCCACUACCUAAUUAUUUACCCCAGAAAUUAUGGGAGAUGAUACAUGUUAUUUUAAUUUGCUAGAUUUUGAGGUAAUCUGAGUAAUUUGUUGUGCAGCAAUAAAAACUAAUACCCAUUUGCUUUGUGAACCAAAAUAAAAUAACAAUAAAUAAACUAAAUUUGUAAGUAAGAGAGCACUUUGUCAAACUUAAAGCUUUUCUUAAACCAUUGCCAGAUUUUGCCCACUCAGGGCAAAGCUAAAUUCAUUCCUCCAUGUGGAAAACAGGGGCCAUGGAGGCUUUGGGUAGGAGAUUGCUUAGGAAGCAACAGGACUUGGCUGCAGGAUCCCCAUGACUGCUGGGGCCACUGUAGGCCCUGUUCUCACAUAUGGGGUUGCCAGAUGGGUGUGAGGGCCCCUGGCUGGGUGCAUCACUCACACAGCAGAGCCCAGAGAGCUGACAUAACCCAACCCACUCUGGGGAUGUGUGGCAGAUUGUCUUUUCCAAAGAUAGCUGCAAUGAUAUCUCCCAUUCAACAGUCUCUUCUCACAAUGUGACCUUGACCUUUCUCUCAUCAAGUGUUGGGGUCUCCAUCCCUUCCCCUUGACUCUGGGCAGACCCUCGUCCCAUAGAACUUGGCAAAGGUGAUGCUACUUGACUUCUAAGUGCCCUGCACUCCACCUUGCUUUAUUGGGGGUGUUCGUUCUUAGAACCCAGCUGCCAUGAUGUGAGGAAGCCCAACAGCCCAUGGAGAGGACACAUGGACAGGAACUGAGGACAGUGGCCCAUAGCCCAGCCUGAGCUCUCAGUGACAGCUGGUGCCCACCUGCCAGCCAUGGGAUGCACACUCUUGAAAGUGGACUCCCAGCCCCACAUCCAUCCCUGUGCUCCCAUGACCUGACCCACAAUGGUGUUCAGAGAAGAUCAGUCAUGACAGAGCCUGAGAGAGGAGUGAGUCAAGGGGGCGUCACUCACUCAGCUGAAGCACACAGGGAAGACAUAGAGGGGCAGGAAUCUAGGGUGCUCCGGAGAGAGGGACAGCGACAGAGUUGGGAAGGAGGGACUUCUACAAGCUCCUGCAGAGCCUUGAGCACCUGCAGAAGGUACCCGGGGCAGCUGACCCCAACCCAUUCUUCCCAAAUCCUGCCUUGGCCACACCUACCCAGCAGCCCCACUACAAGGCUAGCCUGGAGGGAGACACGGGGAUGGAGAGGGAGAUCCGGGAGUUGGGCAGAGAGACAAUGAGGAGAGACACAUACAGAGCUAUGAGAGUGGUUUCAGACCAAGCAGGCCACAGUUGCAGGGGAAGGUGGGGACAGAAGGGCCUCUGGGUUCUGCUCUCUGACACCCUGCACGGUUGGGGGUUACCGCCUGCCUAGAUCAUUGCAGGAAUGAGGGGAGAGCCUGAGCACCCACCCAGGCACCUGUGCCACUGUCAGUGAAAGGUGGCUCCCACAGGUUCUGUGGCCAGUCUGGCC
rnacentral:lncRNA from 10 species